CCUACGGGAGGCUGCAGUGAGGAAUAUUGGUCAAUGGCCGGAAGGCUGAACCAGCCAUGCCGCGUGAAGGUCAGUGCCCUAUGGGCGUUAAACUUCUUUUGUGCGGGAGCAAUAAUGGUCACGUGUGGCCAGACGAGAGUACCGUACGAAUAAGCAUCGGCUAACUCCGUGCCAGCAGCCGCGGUAAUACGGGGGGUGCAAGCGUGAUCCGGAUGUAUUGGGUUUAAAGGGUGCGUAGGCUGUGAGGUAAGUCAGCGGUGAAAUGCCCCCGCUCAACGGGGUGAAGUGCCAUUGAUACUGGCUGGCUGGAAUGCGGGUGCCGUGGGAGGAAUGUGUGGUGUAGCGGUGAAAUGCAUAGAUAUCACACAGAACACCGAUUGCGAAGGCAUCUCACGAAUCCGCGAUUGACGCUGAUGCACGAAAGCGUGGGUAUCAAACAGGAUUAGAUACCCCUGUAGUC
rnacentral:rRNA from 1 species